CCUACGGGAGGCAGCAGUGAGGAAUAUUGGUCAAUGGACGAGAGUCUGAACCAGCCAAGUAGCGUGAAGGAUGACUGUCCUAUGGGUUGUAAACUUCUUUUAUAAAGGAAUAAAACGAGGCACGUGUGCCUUUAUGCAUGUACUUUAUGAAUAAGGAUCGGCUAACUACGUGCCAGCAGCCGCGGUAAUACGGAGGAUCCGAGCGUUAUCCGGAUUUAUUGGGUUUAAAGGGAGCGUAGAUGGGUUGUUAAGUCAGUGGUGAAAGUUUGCGGCUCAACCGUAAAAUUGCAAUUGAUACUGGCAGUCUUGAGUACAGUUGAGGUAGGCGGAAUUCGUGGUGUAGCGGUGAAAUGCUUAGAUAUCACGAAGAACCCCGAUUGCGAAGGCAGCUUACUAAGCUGUGACUGACAUUGAUGCUCGAAAGUGUGGGUAUCAAACAGGAUUAGAUACCCUUGUAGUC
rnacentral:rRNA from 1 species